GCCGGGCAUUGUGGCCCAUGCCUGUAAUCCCAGCUACUUGGGAGGCUGAGGCAGGAGAAUCACUUGAACCCAGGAGGUGGAGGUUGUAGGGAGCUGAGAUUGCACCACUGCACUCCAGCCUGGGUAACAGAGAAAGACUCUGUCUCAA
rnacentral:SRP_RNA from 1 species